rnacentral:tRNA from 1 species
CUUCGCGUGGUUUAGUUGGCCACGCGCCUGUCUAGUGAGUAGGAGUCGUGAGUUCGAGUCUCACCGAGAGGA